rnacentral:rRNA from 1 species
UGCGCCUUGCCAGCCCGCUCAGAAACUUAAAGGAAGUUGACGGGGGCCCGCACAAGCGGUGGAGCAUGUGGUUUAAUUCGAUGAUACGCGAGGAACCUACCUGGGCUCAAAUGUAUGUUGACGUAUUCUGAAAGGGAUACUUCUUCGGACAAUAUACAAGGUGCUGCAUGGUUGUCGUCAGCUCGUGCCGUGAGGUGUCGGGUUAAGUCCCAUAACGAGCGCAACCCCUAUCAUUAGUUGCCAGCAGUUCGGCUGGGCACUCUAAAGGGACUGCCGGUGUUAAACCGGAGGAAGGUGGGGAUGACGUCAAGUCCUCAUGGCCUUUAUGACCAGGGCUACACACGUACUACAAUGGCCGAUACAAAGGGCAGCGACACUGCGAGGUGAAGCCAAUCCCGUAAAAUCGGUCUCAGUCCGGAUUGGAGUCUGCAACUCGACUCCAUGAAGUUGGAAUCGCUAGUAAUCGUGGAUCAGCAUGCCACGGUGAAUACGUUCCCGGGCCUU